UUGGAGGGCAAGUCUGGUGCCAGCAGCCGCGGUAAUUCCAGCUCCAAUAGCGUAUAUUAAAGUUGUUGCAGUUAAAAAGCUCGUAGUUGAAUUUCGGGACUAUCAUGUCGGUCGUGCCUCGGUACGUACUGGCAUUGUUGGUUUCUACCUUCUGACGAACCAUGAUGUCAUUUAUUUGGUAUCGUGGGGAAUCAGGACUGUUACUUUGAAAAAAUUAGAGUGUUCAAAGCAGGCCUAUGCUCGAAUACAUUAGCAUGGAAUAAUAGAAUAGGACGUGUGGUUCUAUUUUGUUGGUUUCUAGGACCGCCGUAAUGAUUAAUAGGGAUAGUCGGGGGCAUCAGUAUUCAAUUGUCAGAGGUGAAAUUCUUGGAUUUAUUGAAGACUAACUACUGCGAAAGCAUUUGCCAAGGAUGUUUUCAUUAAUCAGUGAACGAAAGUUAGGGGAUCGAAGACGAUCAGAUACCGUCGUAGUCUUAACCAUAAACUCGGCCGACUAGGGAUCGGAUGAUGUUAAUUUUUUAACGACUCAUUCGGCGCCUUACGGGAAAC
rnacentral:rRNA from 2 species